AACCAAAUGAAAUUAAGUUAAUUUGUAAAGUUCUAAAGGGUCUUCUUGUCUUUUGAUUU
rnacentral:tRNA from 1 species